AUCAUUUCGUGCCUUGCAUAUAUUAAGAUCAUGUAGUAUCUGUUCUUAUUUAUUAUUGAUUUAUAUGAACCUCUAUAUGAGGACUACAUAUUAAGCAGAUUUUGGCAUGAGGGCAGUAAUUUGUUUGCCUCUUUCUUCCACGCAUUGACCUACAUUGCAGUGCUGCUGGGAACGGUGCACUCUGU